rnacentral:rRNA from 1 species
GACAGAGGGUGCAAACGUUGCUCGGAAUUACUGGGCGUAAAGCGCGUGUAGGCGGUGUCCGCACGUCCGAUGUGAAAGCCCAAGGGCUCCAACCCUGGACGUGCAUUGGAUACGACGGCGCUGGAGUCCUGAAGAGGAGGGGCGGGAAUUCCCGGUGUAGAGGUGAAAUUCGUAGAUAUCGGGAGGAACACCAGUGGCGAAGGCGGCUCACUGGCCCGACUACGUGACGCUGAGGUGCGAAAGCGUGGGGAGCAACA